rnacentral:rRNA from 1 species
GACGAACGCUGGCGGCGUGCUUAACACAUGCAAGUCGAACGGAAAGGCCCUGCUUUUGUGGGGUGCUCGAGUGGCGAACGGGUGAGUAACACGUGAGUAACCUGCCCUUGACUUUGGGAUAACUUCAGGAAACUGGGGCUAAUACCGGAUAGGAGCUCCUGCUGCAUGGUGGGGGUUGGAAAGUUUCGGCGGUUGGGGAUGGACUCGCGGCUUAUCAGCUUGUUGGUGGGGUAGUGGCUUACCAAGGCUUUGACGGGUAGCCGGCCUGCGAGGGUGACCGGCCACAUUGGGACUGAGAUACGGCACAGACUCCUACGGGAGGCAGCAGUGGGGAAUAGUGCACAAUGGGCGGAAGCCUGAUGCAGCAACGCCGCGUGCGGGAUGACGGCCUGCGGGUUGUAAACCGCUUUCGCCUGUGACGAAGCGUGAGUGACGGUAAUGGGUAAAGAAGCACCGGCUAACUACGUG